GGAAAGGCAGAGCACGCGCAGAGUUACUCACGAGCAGAGAGAGUAUAGCUCUAAACACACACUAAAACACAGAAGAAACAUAGAAGAGCAAGACUGGCAUAUGAAGACAGUAAACUAGAGAUCUCUGAAGGGGAAAGAGGAACCCAGAGAUGAAGAGCAGAGCAGACUUUCGGCCACACGCAUUCAAAUCUCUCACACAAGGGAUUCAGAGUUUUGCUGAUCGCACGCACAUAGAGGAGGGCCAAGAGGGCUAAAAAAAAGAAAAAGGGAUCUGGGACUGAGAGGGUGAGAAGGUUGAAUCUGAGAUGGAGAAAUUUCUGAAAAGGGAGAGGAACCGAGAGCUUAGACCGAAGAGCUAGGAGAUUUCUGGAGACUGUUUUAAAAAAACAAAGAGAUAGAGAUGGAGAGAAGUCGAAGAUUGACGCAGACGAGAGCAUUCAGAGAUUAAGAGGGAUCUGAGUAUGAAGCACAUGGAAUAAUGGAGAACAACUAAAAGCUAGAGGAUGUUGAGCGAUUUGGCACUACACAGGUUCUCUAAUUUGUUUGCUUUUGGAUUUAGAAUGUUUUAUGUUUGAUUUUGAUUUCUCAUUUCCAAAUUUUAUGAUUAAAUAUCAUAAGCUUUGAUCAGAGUAGGGGACCAUGAGAAAUUUUUGAACAUGAGAUUGAUUUUUGUUUUAGAAAGGAUUCAAUUAAUAUGUCCUGUUAGUUCUUUGAUAAAUCCUCUGAGUGUAUAUACUUUGUUAGAAUGGAUGGAUAGAGAAUUUGGCAUGAGGUGCUCUGUUCUGACUUGUGCUUUUAGGACGCUUGUGCUGCGUUGAUUAUUCAUGCAUGUUCAAAGGCAUUUAAAUUUCAGAAGAUGAAUUUUUUGCA